UAGGGAAUCUUCGGCAAUGGGGGGAACCCUGACCGAGCAACGCCGCGUGAGUGAAGAAGGUUUUCGGAUCGUAAAGCUCUGUUGUUAAGGAAGAACGAGUGUGAGAAUGGAAAGUUCAUGCUGUGACGGUACUUAACCAGAAAGGGACGGCUAACUACGUGCCAGCAGCCGCGGUAAUACGUAGGUGGCAAGCGUUAUCCGGAAUUAUUGGGCGUAAAGCGCGCGUAGGCGGUUUUUUAAGUCUGAUGUGAAAGCCCACGGCUCAACCGUGGAGGGACAUUGGAAACUGGAAAACUUGAGUGCAGAAGAGGAAAGUGGAAUUCCAUGUGUAGCGGUGAAAUGCGCAGAGAUAUGGAGGAACACCAGUGGCGAAGGCGACUUUCUGGUCUGUAACUGACGCUGAUGUGCGAAAGCGUGGGGAUCAAACAGG
rnacentral:rRNA from 1 species